rnacentral:tRNA from 1 species
AACGUCGUCGCUGUUGGACAGCCGGCCGUCUGCAAAACGGCUCGCACGUCGGGUUCGAUUCCCGCCGACGUUU